GUAGAGGUUGCGUGUUUUAUGAGUAACGGCCGGGACAUGUACAGGCAUGAAGGAAAAGCCGCAAAAGGAAAACGCGCCGAAGGAGAGCGGAAGCCUGCAGCUGCGCUCCUGGGGGUGUGCCGAACAGACACAUCACUGUCAUCAUUCUGAUGGAGAGCUAUCCG
rnacentral:ncRNA from 1 species